rnacentral:rRNA from 1 species
CCUACGGGAGGCAGCAGUGGGGAAUUUUGGACAAUGGGCGCAAGCCUGAUCCAGCAAUGCCGCGUGCAGGAUGAAGGCCUUCGGGUUGUAAACUGCUUUUGUACGGAACGAAACGGUGAGCUCUAAUACAGUUUGCUAAUGACGGUACCGUAAGAAUAAGCACCGGCUAACUACGUGCCAGCAGCCGCGGUAAUACGUAGGGUGCGAGCGUUAAUCGGAAUUACUGGGCGUAAAGCGUGCGCAGGCGGUGAUGUAAGACAGAUGUGAAAUGCCCGGGCUCAACCUGGGACCUGCAUUUGUGACUGCAUCGCUAGAGUACGGUAGAGGGGGAUGGAAUUCCGCGUGUAGCAGUGAAAUGCGUAGAUAUGCGGAGGAACACCGAUGGCGAAGGCAAUCCCCUGGACCUGUACUGACGCUCAUNCACGAAGACGUGGGAGACAACAGAUAGAUACCUACGUACGUACCGACCGACCGUAACG